UACGGAGGGUGCGAGCGUUGUCCGGAAUCACUGGGCGUAAAGGGCGCGUAGGUGGCGCGGGCAGUCAACGGUGAAAGUUCGGGGCUCAACCCUGAAUCGGCCGUCGAUACUCCCGUGCUUGAGCACUGUAGAGGCAGAUGGAAUUCCGGGUGUAGCGGUGGAAUGCGUAGAGAUCCGGAAGAACACCGGUGGCGAAGGCGGUCUGCUGGGCAGUAGCUGACACUGAGGCGCGAAAGCGUGGGGAGCAAACAGG
rnacentral:rRNA from 1 species